rnacentral:lncRNA from 1 species
CAUCUGAAGCAGGGCAACAUGUGACAAUCACUUGCCAGUUACUUGAGAUUUUCACACAGGAUUCCUUCAGAGACACCAAGACAAGUGGCCCUGUUCACACAGCACAAUCCAGAGACACGAUAGAGAAUAAGGAUCGAACGGAGAGAAGACUUCAGAUCCAGUUGAGAAUGGAGCCAGCCACUUUGAAAAGAAAACAAGCAUAUUCCAGGCAGAAGGACAAUGGAUAUAAAUGGCCUGACUCCAAGUCCUUAGGGCCUGGCACACACAGAAGCAGGGGAGAGAUGUGCCAGCAACAUCAGGAGGUGGUCAGGAGUCACAGGAAAAGCAUUGAUGUUAUCUGAGGUGCAAAAGGGAGACAAUGACAUUUUCAACAAAGAACAGCAUGGAUUGUCUCACUUUUGGAAAGAUCUGACUGACUUGUGGCGAAUGGCUCCAAGAAAGGAAAAAUGGAGUCAGGUCAGGUCAGCUUCCUGGAGGACUUCAGAGAGAUGCUUCCACACCACUUCAAGCACAGCAACAGAGUUCUAAGAUGGCUGCCACUAUGCUAUCCAAUACAUCUCUGUUCAAGGCAGAAUGGAUGGAUAAACAAGUGUCCAAAAUCAUUACCCUUACCUAACACUCAACUUGGAAGACUUUGGCUUAGCCAGAAAUGGGUCACAGCACCACACUUAACUGCAAAGGAUCCAGAGAGAGCUGUGGAGAGUAUGCUGGACUGACUGACUCGUGCCGUGACGUGGGCAUCGUCUUCUGCAGUUUUCCUUGGUUUCAGAAGCUGUUGCACUUGCUCUUGGGCUACUGCUUGAAGUUGCAAACAUCACAACUUGAGUUCCAUAUCAGCACAGAGGCCAAUUAGGGAAACAGGAUCCACAGGCAGGUAACAGAGUCAGGGACAGCCCCACUCCAUUUGUUAGAGGGAGGACCCGCAUGAAGACCAAGAUGAACUGUUACAUAUGUGCAGGGGGCCUAGGUCCAGCAUGUGCUGGCUCUUUGGUUGGUGGUUCAGUCUCUGAGAGACCCCAAGGCUCCAGGUUAGUUGAUGCUCUUGGUCUUACUGUGGGGUCCCUAUCCCCUCCAGGGCCCUCAGUCCUUCCUCCAACUCUUCCCUCCAUAAGACUCCCUGAGCUCUGUCUAAUGUUUGGCUGUGGUCUAUGCAUCUGUUUCAGUCAGCUGCUGGGUGGAGCCUCUCAGAGGACUGUUAUGCUAGUCUCUUGUCUGCAAGCAAAACAGAGUACCAUUAAUAGUUUCAGGGAUUGGUUCUUGCUCGUGGGAUGGGUUUCAAAUUGGGCCAGUCAUUGCUUGGCCAUUCCUUCAUUCUCUGCUCUGUCUUUGUCCCUGCACUUGUAGGCAGGACAAACUUUGGGUCAAAGGUUUGGUGGGUGGGUGGGACCUUCUGGGCUUUGAGAUGUAAAUAAGACUAUUUAGGACUAAACCCCUUUACCUAUGGAUGAUGAAAAUGAGUGUGGCUAUCAUGGAGAUUUGGGCAACAGAAAGAACCUUCUGAAUGUAUACCAUCCAAAACUAACUUGAAAACCAGACAUGUAAAGAAAGUAGCAGUGUUUGUUUUUGUUACAACAUGCAACAAUAGUGAAGCUUUGGCUGUGAACACACACACUCUGUGAUGAUGGUAAAAGAGUAUGUAUAGUAAUGAAUUAAUUCUAAAUUAACUCCAGGGGCUGGAAAGCAGUUGGGACACUGCUCAGUAGGUAGGGACACUGACUGCUCUUGCAGUCCAGAACCUACACAGAUUCAAAUAAACUCACAUUGAAGUUAUAGGACCACCCGAGGGAGUAAGUUCUCUCCUUCCACCAUGAAGGUCCUGGGGUUUGAACUCGGGCUGUCAGGGCUUGGCAGCAAGCACCUUAACCCAGUGAAGCCCCCAAAGCAGUCUUGAGUGUAAAGAGUUUAAAACGCUCCUGGUCUAAACAUCUUGGUUAUCUGCUAAGUGGGCGCAAAUGGAGCUCUAAUGCCAGUUUUGGCUUCAGACUCCAAGUCGCAUAUCUAUCCUUACACAGAAUUCCUUCUAACGCCCCCACUUUGUUCCGUGAUAUAAACUAUCACCACUAACCCUGGCCAAAAAGAAAAAAGAAAUAAAGAUCCACACCCUCCAAACCACAAAAAUGUCAGGUAUUAAUAAAAUAUGAGAGUCCUAAGCAGACUUGCUCUGUGCACCACUUCGCGGGCAACAAAAAACUGCACUGUCUACCCUGUUUCUUUCUGUUCAUUUUUAGACACCCGAUCAUAGACAUUUCCAUGUCAAAUGUUGACACAGUGGUUUUUACCUUACCGCCCGCACAGUAUUAAUGGAGUAGUUUGGGCAUUUGAUGAGGAGUGGAGAGGGGCAGAGCAGCACACACUAGCUUCACGCUACUCAGUCCUGGCUCCUUAUGAGAGAGGAGGGACUCCUUAGGGACCCACAUUACUUGUUCAAGUCUCUGCACUGGUCUCUGGGCGGCCGUGAGUCACUUCUUUACUCUGUUGCACAGACUGGCUUCUUGCUAUCUACAAUGUGCAUGCGUGAACAGGGGUGCGUUCACACGACCUCUCAGAGGCUGCCAUGCUUGUCAUCUGUGUUAGUCAGCUCCUCACCACUGUGAUAAAGUUUCUGAGAGAAAAAAAAAAAAAAUUCAAAGGAAGAAAGGUGUUUGUGAGCCGUCCAGCGGCUCACAAGGACAGGUACACCUGUAUAGCAGGCCGGCACUGAAAGAGAGGGAAACUAGGAGACAAGAGAAAGAUGGAACCAAGACAGUGUUCUGAUCAAGGUUCAAAUUUUUAAAGGUGGACACGCUUUAUAAAGGAGGGGGGAGGCCCAUUCCCGCCAAAUCAUUCUUGGAGCCCAGCUGCCGGUAACCAAGUGUAGGAUUGUAGGAUCGCAUGUAGACUCCGGAAUAGCUAGGCCGACUUCCAGCAGGUAGCAGCAGCAGCAGUGGCUGAAUAGAGUGAUCUAGGGAGGCAAGCUCCACCCUAGGUAAUCUCCUUAGUGACAACAAAGUCAAGGUCUGGCUCAGCCUGCUUCAGGCUUGUGCUUGUGGGAGGCUACCAAAAGGUAGAUUGGGUUUACCAUUUUAGAGGUUUCAUUAUCCUUGGAUUUGCCACAAGGCAUCCAGGGUGACUGGGAAUGGAGUGGAACAAACCUGUUUAUGUCAUGGCAACCAGACAGCGAGAGAAAGGUAGGGCCUUCAAGUCCCAAUCCUUUUCAUUAGUUCAGGGAUACACCAGAUCUCACCUAUAGUACCCUGCCCUGAGAUGGAAAUAAGAAAACCCUCCUGCCUCCUGCAUGUGCCUGUGCCAGCCUGUGAGUACAACACUCCAUCUCAGAAUCCUACUGUGAUACUAACAGAUACAAACAGAGCACCACCUAGGGGUGGCUGGAGGCAAACACAUGCAGUGGUUUCUCUUGCCCCUCCAAGGAGAAAAGCAGAGCCGAGGU